CAACCUCAACUUAUAUGGGACUACCCCCUGAAUUUAAGCAUAUUAAUUAGGGGAGGAAAAGAAACUAACAAGGAUUUUCUUAGUAGCGGCGAGCGAAAAGAAAACAGUUCAGCACUAAGUCACUUUGUCUAUAUGGCAAAUGUGAGAUGCAGUGUAUGGAGCGUCAAUAUUCUAGUAUGAGAAAUUAAUGAUUUAAGUCCUUCUUAAAUGAGGCCAUUUACCCAUAGAGGGUGCCAGGCCCGUAUAACGUUAAUGAUUACUAGAUGAUGUUUCCAAAGAGUCGUGUUGCUUGAUAGUGCAGCACUAAGUGGUGGUAAACUCCAUCUAAAACUAAAUAUAACCAUGAGACCGAUAGUAAACAAGUACCGUGAGGGAAAGUUGAAAAGAAGUCUGAAUAGAGAGUUAAACAGUACGUGAAACUGCUUAGAGGUUAAGCCCGAUGAACCUGAAUAUCCGUUAUGGAAAAUUCCUCAUUAAAAUUGUAAUAUUUAAAUAAUAUUAUUAAGAAUAAUGUGCAUUUUUUCCAUAUAAGGACAUUGUAAUCUAUUAGCAUAUCCCAAAUUUAUCAUAAAAUAUAACUUAUAGUUUAUUCCAAUUAAAUUGCUUGCAUUUUAACACAGAAUAAAUGUUAUUAAUUUGAUAAAGUGCUGAUAGAUUUAUAUUAUUACAGAGCGUUAAUUUUUCGGAAUUAUAUAAUGGCAUAAUUAUCAUUGAUUUUUGUGUUUAUUAUAUGCUCUUGUAUGAUUAACAAUGCGAAAGAUUCAGGAUACCUUCGGGACCCGUCUUGAAACACGGACCAAGGAGUCUAACAUAUGUGCAAGUUAUUGGGAUGUAAACCUAAUAGCGUAAUUAACUUGACUAAUAAUGGGAUUAGUUUUUUAGCUAUUUAUAGCUAAUUAACACAAUCCCGGGCGUUCUAUAUAGUUAUGUAUAAUGUAUAUUUAUAUUAUUUAUGCCUCUAACUGGAACGUACCUUGAGCAUAUAUGCUGUGACCCGAAAGAUGGUGAACUAUACUUGAUCAGGUUGAAGUCAGGGGAAACCCUGAUGGAAGACCGAAACAGUUCUGACGUGCAAAUCGAUUGUCAGAAUUGAGUAUAGGGGCGAAAGACCAAUCGAACCAUCUAGUAGCUGGUUCCUUCCGAAGUUUAUAUAAAAUAAUCUUAUCUGGUAAAGCCUUAGGGUCGAAACGAUCUUAACCUAUUCUCAAACUUUAAAUGGGUAAGAACCUUAACUUUCUUGAUAUGAAGUUCAAGGUUAUGAUAUAAUGUGCCCAGUGGGCCACUUUUGGUAAGCAGAACUGGCGCUGUGGGAUGAACCAAACGUAAUGUUACGGUGCCCAAAUUAACAACUCAUGCAGAUACCAUGAAAGGCGUUGGUUGCUUAAAACAGCAGGACGGUGAUCAUGGAAGUCGAAAUCCGCUAAGGAGUGUGUAACAACUCACCUGCCGAAGCAACUAGCCCUUAAAAUGGAUGGCGCUUAAGUUGUAUACCUAUACAUUACCGCUAAAGUAGAUGAUUUAUAUUACUUGUGAUAUAAAUUUUGAAACUUUAGUGAGUAGGAAGGUACAGUGGUAUGCGUAGAAGUGUUUGGCGUAAGCCUGCAUGGAGCUGCCAUUGGUACAGAUCUUGGUGGUAGUAGCAAAUAAUCGAAUGAGACCUUGGAGGACUGAAGUGGAGAAGGGUUUCGUGUGAACAGUGGUUGAUCACGAGUUAGUCGGUCCUAAGUUCAAGGCGAAAGCAGAAAAUUUUCAAGUAAAACAAAAAUGCCUAACUAUAUAAACAAAGCGAAUAUAAUACACUUGAAUAAUUUGAACGAAAGGGAAUACGCUUCCAAUUCCGUAACCUGUUGAGUAUCCGUUUGUUAUUAAAUAUGGGCCUCGUGCUCAUCCUGGCAACAGGAACGACCAUAAAGAAGCCGUCGAGAGAUAUCGGAAGAGUUUUCUUUUCUGUUUUAUAGCCGUACUACCAUGGAAGUCUUUCGUAGAGAGAUAUGGUAGAUGGGCUAGAAGAGCAUGACAUAUACUGUUGUGUCGAUAUUUUCUCCUCGGACCUUGAAAAUUUAUGGUGGGGACACGCAAACUUCUCAACAGGCCGUACCAAUAUCCGCAGCUGUCUCCAAGGUGAAGAGUCUCUAGUCGAUAGAAUAAUGUAGGUAAGGGAAGUCGGCAAAUUAGAUCCGUAACUUCGGAUAAGAAUGGCUCUGAAGAUUGAGAUAGUCGGGCUUGAUUGGGAAACAAUAACAUGGUUUAUGUGCUCGUUCUGGGUAAAUAGAGUUUCUAGCAUUUAUGUUAGUUACUUGUUCCCCGGAUAGUUUAGUUACUAGCCAAUUGUGGAACUUUCUUGCUAAAAUUUUAAGAAUACUAUUUGGGUUAAACCAAUUAGUUCUUAUCAAUUAUAACGAUUAUCAAUUAACAAUCAAUUCAGAACUGCACGGAAUUGGGAAUCCGACUGUCUAAUUAAAACAAAGCAUUGUGAUGGACCUAGCGGUGUUGACACAAU